rnacentral:rRNA from 1 species
CCUACGGGUGGCAGCAGUGGGGAAUUUUGGACAAUGGGGGCAACCCUGAUCCAGCCAUUCCGCGUGAGUGAAGAAGGCCUUCGGGUUGUAAAGCUCUUUCGGCAGGAACGAAAAGGCUCUCUCUAACAUAGGGAGUCAAUGACGGUACCUGAAGAAGAAGCACCGGCUAACUACGUGCCAGCAGCCGCGGUAAUACGUAGGGUGCGAGCGUUAAGCGGAAUGACUGGGGGUAGCGUUGGAGCACGCGGCUGAAAUCCCCGGGCUUAACCUGGGAACUGCGCUUGUGACUGCAAGGCUUGAGUGUGGCAGAGGGGGGUGGAAUUCCACGUGUAGCAGUGAAAUGCGUAGAGAUGUGGAGGAACACCGAUGGCGAAGGCAGCCCCCUGGGUCAACACUGACGCUCAUGCACGAAAGCGUGGGUAGCAAACAGGAUUAGAUACCCCGGUAGUC